rnacentral:lncRNA from 1 species
UUCAAUUGGCUGACCGUUCAAUUACCUACCCUAGAGGAGUCAUUGAAGAUGUUAUUGUGAAGGUUGACAAUUUAUAUUUACCGGCUGAUUUUAUGGUGUUGGACAUGGAUGAGGAUUUGACAACGCCCAUUAUUUUGGGCCGCCCAUUUCUGGCAACAGCCCGGACUCUUAUUGACGUUGAAGCCGGAACAUUAACAUUCCGGGUUGAAGAUCAAACUGUUGUUUUCAAGUUGUUUGAAGCAAGCAUACAUUCAGAUGACAAGCAAGAAUGCAUGCGUGUUGAUGCAUUGGAUGGUUUACCAAGUGCCAAGUUUAUGAAUAGAUCAUCAACUGACCAUCUAUCCAUAAAGCCCCCGAAUUUAACUCGUGAUUGUUCAAGUCCUAAACCACAGCAGCAAAGGGUGAUACAUGAAGACCAGCCAAUUAACACUAAGAAAAAAUAUGAAAAUUUUCCAAGCAGCCCGAAUUUUAAGAAAAUACAGCCUGGUAAAAAAGUGUGGUUAAGUUCAGAUUUCAAGUUAUUUCCAGGGAAACAAGAGUCUCGAUGGAGAGGCCCUUUUCUAGUUACUAAAGUUUUUCAGAAUGGUAGUGUGGACAUUAAGGCUAAGGACACAGAUUUCUCAUUGAAGGUGACCAAACAUCAACUAAAACCAUGCAUAGAGAAAUUUGGUGUAGGCAAGUCUUUGACUCUGAAGGCACCAGUGAUCUAGCCAUCGGACUUCCGCAACGUCUAGCUACAGACUUAAAAUAAAGCGCUAAUUGGGAGGCAACCCAAUUUUUCUAAACUCUUUCCUAAUUUUAAUUUUCGUUUGAUUUUCUCUUUAAGAUAAAAAUAUAUAUAUUUAUAUAUUAAAAAAAAAACAUACAUAAAAAAAAAUAAAAA